rfam:Cajanus cajan CcLG01_1087, whole genome shotgun sequence.
AUACCCAAGUCGGGGCUCUCUGCACUCCAAGGCUGAAGGAGAUGAUGGUAAACCCUAGCUGCUAAUUCAUGGUCACCUUUGGCUUCACAUAAUAAGGAAGCAUGUGAAAGUCAUGGGUCUGCAUGAAUUUGGAGAUGGGGUUACCCUGAUCUUUUUGUAUUGGAGUGAAGGGAGCUCCGAAUUCGGAUUUC